rnacentral:rRNA from 1 species
UACGAAGGGGGGCUAGCGUUGUUCGGAAUUACUGGGCGUAAAGCGCACGUAGGCGGCUUUCUAAGUCAGGGGUGAAAUCCUGGAGCUCAACUCCAGAACUGCCUUUGAUACUGGAGAGCUUGAGUCCGGAAGAGGUGAGUGGAACUCCGAGUGUAGAGGUGAAAUUCGUAGAUAUUCGCAAGAACACCAGUGGCGAAGGCGGCUCACUGGCCCGGUACUGACGCUGAGGCACGAAAGCGUGGGGAGCAAACAGG